rnacentral:lncRNA from 1 species
GAGCUCGAAUUUAAGGCUGAAUUUAAGCUCAGACUAUUUGUUUCUAUAUAUAAUUAUCUGGAGAGAAUGGCGAGGAAGCAAAAGACAAAUUGAAAUGAGUUUUGCUGAGAAUGAUGUCUCGUGCAUCAUUUACUUAUGUUACAAGAGAAGCAUAGUUUUUAGCUAGUCCAUUCAAUUGUAAAGGAACAAUAUGAAAUAUUAAAUUUCAAUUGGAUUCAGGCC